UUACAUUGAGAGCUCCCAAACCCAUAAAGGUCCGAACGCUCAAGUCUUCGAAGAAGCAAAAAAAUCGAAAUUAGGUUAAAAUUUGAAUUUACUCUUCCCCUCCAUUUGAGUUCUCUUUUGCGCCUCUCCCUCUCCCCCUCACUCUUGCAUUCUUCUUCAGCCCAACCACCGCCGUGCUCGCCCCUGCAGCAACGCCGAACUCCCCUACACCCAUCUUCGCCGCCGCCGCCGUUUUCAUUAAGCGCCGUCGUGGUCGCCGCUGGUAAUUUUCAUUCAAUAUUUCUCUCUUCAAACUCUUUCUCUCUCUCUAACCACGCACAAUAGCUUUCGGUCACUGUCGCACGACCCCCGGACGUAUUUUCGCCGUCUUCCCUCGAGUCCGCUACAGCCAGUGCCGCCUCCGGAAUCGGAGUUUUUGUACGUGGCAUCUCUCUGUGAAUGGAGCAGAGACUAGCCAAUACGUGGCGUCUCUCUGUGAAUGAAAAAAAGUUCAUUGAAACAGCCCUUCUUUCCGAUUUGAGGGUCGAUGGUCGUUGCCCUUUUGACUACCGGAAUCUCACCAUCAACUUUGGCAAGGAUGAUGGUUCUUCUGAGGUGCAGCUUGGCCAGACUCACGUAAUGGGCUUUGUGACUGCUCAACUAGUUCAACCGUACAGGGAUCGUCCUAAUGAGGGCACUCUUUCUAUAUAUACUGAGUUUUCUCCUAUGGCUGAUCCAUCAUUUGAACCUGGCCGUCCGGGAGAGUCUGCUGUUGAGUUAGGGCGUGUAAUAGACCGUGGUCUACGGGAGAGUAGGGCAGUGGAUAUGGAAUCACUCUGUGUUGUUUCUGGCAAAUCUGUGUGGGCCAUUCGAGUUGAUCUCCACAUUUUAGAUAAUGGGGGAAACCUUGUGGAUGCGGCUAAUAUUGCUGCUUUGGCUGCUUUAUCAACUUUUCGAAGACCUGAGUGUUCAUUGAGUGGAGAUGAUGGUCAGGAAGUGAUAGUUCAUCCCCCUGAGGUUAGGGAGCCACUUCCGUUGAUCAUACAUCAUCUCCCUAUUGCAGUAACCUUCGCAUUUUUUCGUAGUGAGAGCAUUCUGGUGAUAGAUCCAACUCACUGUGAAGAGGCUGUUAUGGGAGGAAGAAUGACUGUCACACUUAAUGCUAAUAAUGAUGUUUGCGCUAUUCAAAAAGCAGGAGGAGAAGGUGUACUUAAGAGUGUGAUCAUGCAAUGUCUGCGAAUUGCUUCUGUCAAAGCUGGUGAUAUCACAACUAAAAUAAAAAAUGCAGUCGAGACUUACAGUUCAGCUAGACAAUUGCGGAAGAUUAAGCGUCACCCUUCUGUUAAUUUGGAUGUUGGAGGAGGUGCAGGUAGUCUGAAGGAUAGCCAAGGCAUAUCUGAUGGUGAAAAGAGUAUCAAUGAUCAGGAGAGUAUUGUCAGUCAAAGCGGGAGUAUCAAGAAUGAUGAAUCAACAAAUCAAGGACAAUUAGACAAGAGAGAUUUUGAUGCCAAGAAUUUCAUUGGGGGCCCUUCGUGCUGGGACCCACACUCCAAAGGUGUUGAUUCGAAUUUCUUGAAAGCUACCUUAGCUUCACGUGGAAAUCUAACCGCAAUGAAGAAAGAGGACAUGAGUGAUGAAAUGAUGUCCUCCGAGUCUAUGGUUGAUGAACAAGAAGCCAAAGUCGGUGAGGUGAAUUUGUCUCCUGUUGCUGCAAAAACUUUGUCAGAAGAAAAUGGGAAGAAGACGUUGAAAGAUGCGGUGAAGCGAAAGAAUAAGAGGAAAAAGAAGAAGACCACCACUAUUGAUGCAGAUUAGUUCACUGGUGACAAUCUUUUGAAAUAUACAAAUUUUGAAGCUCGACUUCGAAGUACAUAGAAGGGAGGGAUCAAAUGAAGCAGAAAGAAGCAUCACGAAGGUCGAGAACUUCAGCGGUAAAUGGUAUGCGUUUUUAUGUGUUGAUGACUUCUCCCGAUACACGAGGGUAAAGUUUAUAUGAGAAAAGUCAGAGACCUUCAAAGUAUGCGCGCCCUAUGUCUCCAGUUGCAAUGUGAACAAAGUAAAGGGGUUAUUUGUAUUCGAAGCGAUCAUGAGCGCGAAUUUGAUAAUAGUGCAUUCAAUGAUUUCUAUGAAUCAGAGGGAGCUUUUCAUGAGUUCUCUGCUCCUCUUACACCUCAACAAAAUGGGGUAGUUGAAUGUAAAAAUUGCACGUUGCAGGAAAUGGUUUGUGUGAUGUUGCAUGCUAAAGCCUUUCCCUUA